rnacentral:rRNA from 1 species
CAAUAGCGUAUAUUAAAGUUGUUGCGGUAAAAAGCUCGUAGUUGGAUUUCUGUUGAAGACGUCCGGUCCAUACCACGUAUGCGCAUCUGGCUCGGCUUCGGCAUCCUCUCGAAAGACGUUUCUGCGCUUGAUUGCGUGGAGCGGAUCUCGGGACUUUUACUUUGAGGAAAUUAGAGUGUUCACGGCAGGCAUUCGCCUUGAAUAUAUUAGCAUGGAAUAAUACUAUAGGAUCUUGGUUCUAUUUUGUUGGUUUCUAGGGCUAAGAUAAUAAUCAAUAGGGACAAUUGGGGGCGAUUCGUAUUACGGCGUCAGAGGUGAAAUUCUUGGAUUGCCGUACGACGAACUACUGCGAAAGCAUUUGCCAAGGAUGUUUUCUAUUGAUCAAGAACGAAAGUAAGGGAUCGAAGACGAUUAGAUACCGU